AUCCAUCUAACGAGUCUGAAACAGGACGAAACACACUUCCUGGAU
rfam:Schistosoma mansoni strain Puerto Rico chromosome 4, complete genome